AGAAGAGGGUGCAUGAGUUGCUUCAUGCUGCCUGCUUACAGGCAUUGGCAUUGUAGCUGCCACCCUUGUGCCCACGGAGAUGGGAGGAGGCGAGUGGAGGGCGCAGCGGCAGGAGUCCUGUGCUCUGGGAGGAAGGCUUUGUACAUGGGAGCUGUUGGCAUCACAUCUGUCAGGCCGGUGCCCAGAACUGGGGCAAUGGAGACUGGGGGAUCCAGGAAGCAGGGAGGAGGGGCAGAAUGUGUUUCUGAUGUUGCUGUCCCUCUAGAAGCUCAGCUCUGAAAAAUGGUUGGAGUAUGAGGUGAUUAGUGCUCUUCCAGCUUGAGGAAGUAAAGUGGUGGAGAGAGUAGCCAGGGAAGUGCCAAGAAACAGUCUACGAGCCAGGGAGGAGGGAGUGUGCCACCGUACCCAGGGAGAACUUGUUGGGGCUGGCAAUCUGGCCCUUUGUCAGAGUAUUGAAGGAGACAGCAAGAGGACCAGAUGUGAGGCAUGGGGAGUGGAGCAACAGACGGAGAGUGGCAUGAAGACACAAAGGAGGAAGCACACCAUUGCCAAGACCCCAAGGAAGAAGGAUGGAAAGCGCUGGCAGUCCUGCCUGGCCCCCAGCCAGUUCCCUGCUGAAGAUGGCCAGAUCCCCUUGUCUGGUCUGU
rnacentral:lncRNA from 1 species